CAAUAGCGUAUAUUAAAGCUGUUGCGGUUAAAAAGCUCGUAGUUGGAUUUCUGUCAAGGACAACUGGUCCGCCCUCCGGGUGAGCACAUAGUUUGGUCUUGGCAUCUUGCUGGAAGCUGUUGCUGCACUUGGCUGUGUGGCGCAGCGUCCAGCACUUUCACUUUGAGGAAAUUGGAGUGUUUCAAGCAGGCACAUGCCUUUGGACACAGUAGCAUGGAAUAAUUAGAUUGGGCUUUUGCUCCAAUUUGUCGGUUUCUGGAGCUGAGGUGAGAAUUAAUGGGGAUUGUUGGGGGCAUCCGAAUUUAGCCGUCAGAGGUGAAAUUCUUGGAUCUGCUAAAGACGGACAACUGCGAAAGCGUCUGCCAAGGAUGUUUUCAUUGA
rnacentral:rRNA from 1 species